CGCAAGACCUACCUGUUUUCACUAACUGAAAGAAACCCAAAGAGGAUCUUUGCUUUUAUGAAAAAAGUGAAAAUAGCCCUUGCUCAGCGUUAGUCUUGCAGCGAGACCGCCAGCAGCACAGCGGCCCCGCCAGGCCCCCCCGCGCCGACCCUCCCAACCACACUUCAGCGUCUCAGCACCCAGCCUCCAGAGCUCUGCGCAGUCUGUGAGCAUCUGCUUUAUCUCCCUCUGUUUUGUGCAUCCAUUCGCAAGAAGCGUCCUAAGGUGACUCCUAAGUCCAAUGACAAGUGUCCUUAAGAGACAUGCAGAGAACACACACUGGGGAGGUAUUGUGGCCAUGGAGGCAGAUUGGAAUGAAGACACAAGUCAAGGAAUGCCAACAGCCACUGAAAGAACGGACUGUCCCCGACAGCCUCUGAAGAGAAUGUGGUCCUGCCAACAGAGAGAGAGCAAGAGUGAGAACGAGAGAGAGAGAGCUAAAGGGAAGAGGUUUCUGUGCCACCUAGAGCUCCAACCCGGAAUGCUGGGAGUCCUGAAGCCUGGGAUCCUGAGACACUCC